AGGACCCGUCUUGAAACCCGGACCAAGGAGUCUAGCAUAUAUGCAAGUCAUGGAGUCAAUUAUAUAGACUCAUAGACGUAAUUAACGUAAAGGUAAUAUUACGAAUUUAUAUAUUAAUAAUUUAAUUAUUAUUGUAUAUAAAAAUUUACCAAAGGAAGAUAAAUAGUGUUUAUUAAGCUAUUUCGCAUUCCUGGGGCGUUCUAUAUAAAUUUUUAAUUGUUAUUAUUUAUUGGAUUAUUUAUUGAUAAUAUAUUGGAUUUUUUUUUUUCAAUUAAAAAUUUGGAGCGCACCAAGAGCAUAUACNCUGGGACCCGAAAGAUGGUGAACUAUGC
rnacentral:rRNA from 1 species